AUGCAUCAUGAAAAACCUGAUCUGUUAAUAAAAAAUAACGAUGUGGCAGUGAAAGCACAAAGAAGAGAUAACAAUUCCCUGGAGCAGCCGCUGGAUUCAGAGCAGAGACCAAGUCAAAACCCAGAAGCGUUCCAAAGGCCUGGGCAAAGUGAUGCACGUGGUUUUAAGAAUCCACACUUUAGCCCUAAGUACCUGAAGUCGUGGAAGACCACCACCAUUCAACAAAUCAGCAUGAGGAUCAAGAACGUGGGUCACGGGAUUUCACCAGCAACGAUUGCUUGGAACAAGCUCUGAGCAGCAGGACAGCAGCGCUGGAGGAUCCCAGGACCCGAGCACAAAGCAGCAGGGACAGAAGGGAAGAUGAGAUGACACGCUGCAAGCAGGGAGGGCAGAAAGGACUAGAACAGGUGAUCCCCAGUAGGCAAGGUAAGAGGAGACGUGAAAAGGAGACAGAAUUAAAAUAAAUCCAGCUCACGUAGAGACA
rnacentral:lncRNA from 1 species